rnacentral:lncRNA from 1 species
CGAAACAGCGGCCUCCAUUACAACAAUUCAAGGUAUCCAGGCAUACUUAAGUCCACAUGCAAAACCUCAAAUAUAUUUAUGAAUUCAAUUAUGAUAUCACAUGUGCAUUAGGAACAUAAAGCGGUGAUAGUAACGCAAACCUGUUGGCAAUUGAAUUGCAACCUCGAAUUGGCCGAUCGGAUCGAAUUGAGCGGAAGUGACCUUGCUGCCGU